CACAGCAGACUGAAUAGUAAUAUCAGCAACUUCUUCGUUUUCACCCGGAUCAGCGAUUAGAGCAACUGUAUCAAGUUUGGACUCAUGAUCACUUGAGAAUCAGCAGCUUCAAAUCUAUGAGUACUCAUCCUAUUUGUUUGAUCUUGAAUCUUAAUGAGAGCUUAGAGUUUAGAUAGUUUCUUAAUGUUAAUUGAUAUGAAAUCCCUUUAUAUACUCAUCCAUCACAAGCCCGACCAUGGCCUUUAGGCAAUCGGGAAUCUUUAGGAUUCCUUGGGAGAAUAGGAAAUUGAUGUAGGACAAGAUAUGAUUCAAUUCAGACGAAGCAAGACAAAAAAAAUAAAAUGUUUCAAAUUUUGGACAAGAUGAAUUAAAGUUGCAAGAUAUUGGAUUCAAAUGAUAUGGCUAUAGAAAAGGCAGCAAGAAAUAUUCGGGAGUCAUAAUUGGACUUCUAACAUCUUUUAUAGAAAAUCACAAGAAAAACAAGACUCAUGAUUUACCAUGAGUUUGUCGUGUUUAAGGCAAAGUAAGAUGGUUUUGAUUUCUAGAUGAAAAACAAACUUGUCGUUUUACGUUCGAUUUUACUUCUUUUACAUUCCUUAAGACUCCCUGUUCUAAUGACAAUAGAUCAUGGGAAAAGAAAAACUCUAAGCGACGUUGUUCGUAAGGGAAGUACCGAAUAUUGAAUAGGAACACGUUAUGGGAUUCUCCUAUAGCCAACCUCAUCAAUUUUUCAUGGAGGAUAUUCAUUAUUUCAAAGAUUGUGAAUGUAUUGAAGGAUUUCUCCUAUGGAUUGAAGAUGUUAAGUUGUUCUUUGAAAGUAUGAAGAUUCU
rnacentral:lncRNA from 1 species